rnacentral:rRNA from 1 species
GAUAAACGCUAGCGGCAGGCUCAACACAUGCAAGUCGAGGGGCAGCAUAGAUUGUAGCAAUACAAUUGGUGGCGACCGGCGCACGGGUGCGUAACGCGUAUGCAACCUACCCGUCACAGGGGGAUAAUCCGGAGAAAUCUGGUCUAAUACCCCAUAACAUAUGGAUCGGCAUCGGUUCAUGUUGAAAUUUCGGAGGUGACGGAUGGGCAUGCGUAGCAUUAGCUUGUUGGUGAGGUAACGGCUCACCAAGGCGACGAUGCUUAGGGGGACUGAGAGGUUUUCCCCCCACACUGGUACUGAGACACGGACCAGACUCCUACGGGAGGCAGCAGUGAGGAAUAUUGGUCAAUGGGCGCAAGCCUGAACCAGCCAUGCCGCGUGCAGGAUGACGGCUCUAUGAGUUGUAAACUGCUUUUGUACGAGGGUAAAGUGGGUUACGUGUAACCUUUUGUAAGUAUCGUACGAAUAAGGAUCGGCUAACUCCGUGCCAGCCGCCGCGGUAA